UGACCGUACUAAGGUAGCAUAAUAAUUUGCCUUUUAAUUGGAGGCUAGUAUGAAUGGUUUGACGUGAAAUAUACUGUCUCAACUAUAUUUAGUAGAAUUUAACUUUUAGGUGAAGAGGCCUAAAUCUUGUGGGAAGACAAGAAGACCCUAUUGAGCUUUAAAUAUUUGUGUUAGUGAGAACCUAAGAUUUAUAUGAUGGUCACUACUUAGAAGUAUGUUGGUUGGGGCGACCGAGGAGUACAAAAAUAACCUCCUCGUAAUGUAAAGAAUUUGUUAUCAACGAACCUGUAAUAUGGGUUAUUCGGUAGUUACCAUAGGGAUAACAGCGUAAUUCUUUUGAAGAGUUCAUAUCGAAGAAAGAGAUUGCGACCUCGAUGUUGGAUUAAGGUGUCCUAAGGG
rnacentral:rRNA from 1 species